rnacentral:sRNA from 1 species
ACUUUUGAGUUCUUUAUAUAUUUUUGCUUGCAUGAGUGGUCACUGGGUGUAGUAAUACUACUGGAGAAAACCUGUUUAACAGGUAUUAUUUAUUUUUAAAUAAACUUGCUUAGUGGUUUGAAGAGUGAGGUUAGAUGUAUUCUGGGCGACACGCUGUGUGGACGUGUCUGUACUCUUGGUGAGAUAUCUUGGGCGUUUCCCAUGCUGUGUGAUCUUGGGAACGGCAUCCCUGUGUGGGCUUAUUUGUGUGAGAGAGAUACAACCCAGUGACCACGGAGUGGGCACGUGCACGUGGUGGACCAUGCUAUAUCCGUGGAAGGACUUAUGGUGGGACAAUUAAUAUCCAAACCAAAAACUUAUGUGAGAUGUCUUGUCGUAUGCCAUCUAUUCCAUCCGAUAGAACUGAUGUCAACAACCUCCUAAUUAUUGUAUAUUUGUAAAUAAAUUGUUUUUCUUUUGU